AGGAUUCUCCUAGUAACGGCGAGUGAACGGAGAUUAGCCCAUCGCUGAAGACUGGUAUUAUUAUACACAAGUCAAUGUGGCGUUUAGGUCUAUGCCUGGGAUUGAGUACCUGCCCGAAGUCCAAUUUCGAUUGUGGCAUUGGAUAUUCCCCAGAGUGGGUGAAAGGCCCAUCCGGGUAGGCUAUUGAAAUUUUAUGCUCAGUCCUCAGAUGUGUAGUCCAUCGAGUCGGAUUGCUUGAGAAUGCAGUCCAAAGUGGGUGGUAAACUCCAUCCAAGGCUAAAUACUGGCACGAGUCCGAUAGUAGACAAGUACCGUGAGGGAAAGUUGAAAAGUACUCUGAAGAGAGAGUUAAUAGUACGUGAAGCCGAAUUCAGGGAAGCUGGUGGAGUCAAGCUUCGUGCUUGAGGAAUUGUAGCGGGCAUUUAUUGUAGUGUAUAUAAGCACUUGACUGGUCAAUAUGGAAAGUAUUGGACACAUUUGUGUGUUUCAAGACAACUCCGGGUAGUGUGUUUGCGGCCAAUCAAUGUGUUUUAAUGCCCGUUAUCUAUUCUUCAUUGUGCACAGAUCAUGGUCAGUGAUGACGCGCUAUAUGAUGCUCUAACAGCGUUUUGGUGAACUUUCCGUUUGUCAGUCGCUGGAAGGCAGGUGUCAAUCAACGAUCCUUGUGUUUGUUGAUUUGAUUAUAAUGGUUUCGAUCAGCCGAGUAUCUUGUAUGUGUCGUUUUUUACUGUUCUUCAAUGGUUGUUAGUAGAAAUACUAAUUGCCAGUAAGAACCAUGAUUCUGAGGUAGA
rnacentral:rRNA from 1 species